GCUGCUGCCCUCAGCACUCACAGUGGAAGCUCUGGAGCACCUGCUGAGCCCGGGGAGAUGAGGCCUCACCAGCAGGAGGAGGGGCCACAGAAGACCGACUUUGGGAAGAGAGCAGGCAGAAGGGAGCGAGUGCCGGCCUAAGCUGGGGUGUGGGGAGUCAGGGUUCAAUGGGGACAGAGAUUCAGACUAGAAGAUGGAGCAGCUCUGGAGAUGACAGUGGUGAUGGCUGCACAACAGUGUGACUGGGCUUAACGCCACUGGACUGUGCACUUAUUAGAACAGAGCCGACAGUUUCUCAGUCCAGUCCCAGCACAGUGAUUGGUGAUUUAUAUGAAGUCUGCCCCUCCAGUGACCGUGCACUUCCUUCUGAGAGAGAACUGUGCCAGGGGAGGGCUGAGCUCCACCCUCUCCCUCAGUCUCUAAGACACUGAAGCCAUGCUGUGCUCUCACCACCAGAUCCCCACCAGCAUCACACUGACAACACUGCAGGCCAGUGAGCUCCUCUGGGAGGGUCAGGAUCACCAAGCCCUGUGAGAAGGAUGUUAUGGCCAGGAGCAGGACCGCCAUGCAGGAACACUGUGGCAACCCUGUGCAGAAAACCUGUUGGCCCUGCCAGGUGACACAGACUGUGCCGGUGGCACUCGUGAGCUGGCACAGAAAAAGCAGCCGCAUGCCAAGCGCAGGGCUGUGUGGCUUCGUGGCAGCAGAGGCUGCGUCUGCCUGCAGUGAGGAGGGGCUCCGGCUGUGCCCUCAGGAGCAAAGUGCUGGUGAGCCCGUGCGGUGCUGAUGGCUGCAGAAAGCCAAACAGUCACGCUGACCGGACAGUUCCGCCGGGGCAGCCUGGGGACGAGAUCAUGAUGACGACAGUCCCAUGUGAUCCUCAACGUCAGGUCACAGGCACUUCAUGAAUUCUUUCAGGCUGGACUUGUGUUUUCCUAGUGAAAGCCGUCUUGGCGUUGUUCCACAUACAAGUAAUUAUUGGAUUUUUCUUCAAAACAUGUCAUGAAUAUGAGGCAGGAUUUGAGUAUUGAGGCAAAAUAAAUCUAUUUAAAUUCUCCA